UGAACGCUGGCGGCGUGCAUAACACAGUUCAAGUCGAACGAUGAAGGGACUUCGGUCCUGGAAUAGUGGCGGACGGGUGAGUAACGCGUGAGCAACCUGCCUUGCAGUUGGGGAUAACGUUGGAAACGAACGCUAAUACCGCAUAACGUAUAAAUAUCGCAUGUUAGAUAUACCAAAGAUUUAUUGAUGCAAGAUGGGCUCGCGUCCGAUUAGAUAGUUGGUGAGGUAACGGCCCACCAAGUCGACGAUCGGUAGCCGGACUGAGAGGUUGAACGGCCACAUUGGAACUGAGAAACGGUCCAGACUCCUACGGGAGGCAGCAGUGGGGAAUAUUGGGCAAUGGGCGAAAGCCUGACCCAGCGACGCCGCGUGAGGGAAGAAGAUCUUCGGAUUGUAAACCUCUUUCAGCAAGGAAGAAGAAAGUGACGGUACUUGCAGAAGAAGCCACGGCUAACUACGUGCCAGCCGCUGC
rnacentral:rRNA from 1 species